rnacentral:lncRNA from 1 species
AUUUCUCUCCUAUCCGCCAUCCUGGUUCCUCCCUUCCCCCCACCUCCCAACUCUGUGCCCCGCCAACGUUUCCUAAAUGCCCUCUAUUCAGAUCCCCCCUCCGCCUCCCCUCUCCUCUCCUCCAUUCCUGCGUCCCCCUUCCCCCGCCGCGCCGCCUGGGCUGUCCGUGGACUUCUCCCACUCUCUCACUCUCUCACUCACUCUCUCUCUCUCUCUCUCUCUCUCACUCUCUCUCUCUCUCUCCCCCUCAUUUAUUUGGAACCGUUGGAUAAGAAGUGCUCGGGCUCUCGCUCAGACUUAGGGAGCUGCCUCGAGGUGAUGAAUGACACCCCCUGGCACCAGCUACCCUUCUCAGACCCCAGUCCAGCCCGCUCCCGACGUCGACUACGAUUCCGCUACCUCGGCUGGCAGCGAGGUUGGGGUGAGCCCCAGCUGCAGGCGCGUCUGGGCUGCGCCGCUGCAAACGAGUUGCGCACCUUGGGCGGCUCCGCACCUGCACCCGCACCCGCGGGGCUCAGCCCCGAAGGCUGCAGCUUCGGGGGAGGCGCGGUCGCCGAGGUCCAGCUGGUGGGGCGAGAGACGUCGCCCCUCGGAGGAUGCUCUCGGAACUUGGGAGAGGAAGGAGGGAAGAGAAGAGGGGAAAGGGGCCGUCGAUGUUUUUGAUGUCUGUGCUUUAAUGGAGGCCACCAAUAUUGAGAAGACGGGGUUGGCCGAGGCAGCCCGCACGCUGCUGCUUGCGAGCGCUCGAGUCAAAGCUAGGGCCAACCGCGGCUUGUCCGGGUGCCCUAAGGGGGCGGACACUUGGUUUAGCACCGGGACACAGAAUAGCCACCGGGGUAGGAAGAUGCGUUCACUUUGCUUACCUGUUGGCAAGAGGGACAUACAAAAAUAACGUAACGUGACAUCGUUGACAACGGUAGCUCUUUGAUUACACAAAAGCCAAUUUUACCUUCCCGCAAAAGCCAGUUGACGCCUUUGGAACUUUUAUUUGCGGCAUUUUGGCGCCCUCUGGCUGUGUUUGGAUCGCUUUCAUGCUCGCCUGCGUCCCAGCCAAGAAAAAAUCGAUGGAGCUGCAGGUUGUCCUCAGGAUGGUUCUGCCCUCAGGACCUGGGCGUGAAUUCAGGGACAGGGUGGCCCUCCAGAACCGGAGUGACAAACUGUAACCAUACUUAGGGAGGCAGACGUCAAAGGCAAGUACAUCUGUAUUCAACUGGGUAAAGGAAGAGUUUUUCAGCCUGGCGUGGUGGCUCACACCUGUAAUCCCAGCACUUUGGGAGGCCAAGCCAUGUGAAGACGUGCCUGCCUCCCUGUUACCUUCCACCAUGAUUGUAAGCUUCCUGAGGCCUCCCCAGCCAUGCCUGCUGUAUAGCCUGCAGAACAAGUCUCGCUCUGUCCAGUGGCACAAUCUCUGCUCACUGCAACCUCCACCUCCCUGUUCAAGCGAUUCUCAUGCGUCAGCCUUCCGAGUAGCUGGGACUACAGACACACAUAAGAUGUUACAGCUCUUUGAAGUCAUUCCCAUAGUCUUCUAAUGCAACAAGUCAUUGUCACUAAUUCAACUGAAA